rnacentral:lncRNA from 1 species
CCUACCCACACCAGGUUACCCCAUUCCUCCCCAAACCAGGUUACCCCAUCCUCCACAUUCCAGGUUACCCCAUCCUCCACAUGCUAGGUUACCCAGUCCUGCCUAUUCCAGGUUACCCCGUCCUGCCUAUUCCAGGUUACCCCAUCCUCCCCAUUCCAGGUUACCCCAUCCUCCCCAUUCCAGGUUACCCCAUCCUCCCCAUUCCAGGUUACCCCAUCCUCCCCAUUCCAGGUUACCCCAUCCUCCCCAUUCCAGAUUACCCCAUCCUCCCCAUUCCAGGUUACCCCAUCCUCCCCAUGCCAGGUUACCCCGUCCUCCCUAUUCCAGGUGAAACUGGAGAUCAAAAGUUAAG